AACCCUAAACCAGCUCUCUCGUUUCGUCGGCCACUCCGAAGGCGUUUCCGACCUAGCAUGGUCAUCUGAUUCCAGUUAUAUUUGCUCCGCCUCCGACGACCGCACGCUCCGUAUUUGGGAUGCACGCGCCGCCGAGUGCGUCAAAACCUUGCGUGGACACACGGGCUUCGUCUUCUGCGUUAAUUUCAACCCACAGUCGAAUCUCAUAGUUUCGGGUUCGUUUGAUGAGACUAUUUAUAUUUCACAGGGUAGUUAUAUUUGCUCCGCCUCCGACGACCGCACGCUCCGUAUUUGGGGUGCACGCGCCGCCGAGUGCGUCAAAACCUUGCGUGGACACACGGGCUUCGUCUUCUGCGUUAAUUUCAACCCACAGUCGAAUCUCAUAGUUUCGGGUUCGUUUGAUGAAACUAUUCGGGUCUGGGAUGUGAAAACGGGCAAGUCCAAUCACGUGAUCCGGGCUCAUUCGAUGCCGGUUACGUCGGUCCAUUUUAACAGGGAUGGCUCGUUGAUUGUUUCGGGAAGUC
rnacentral:lncRNA from 1 species